rnacentral:rRNA from 1 species
GACGUAGGGCGCGAGCGUUGUCCGGAAUUACUGGGCGUAAAGCGUGCGCAGGCGGUUGUGUAAGACAGGUGUGAAAUCCCCGGGCUUAACCUGGGAAUUGCAUUUGUGACUGCACGGCUAGAGUUUGGCAGAGGGGGGUAGAAUUCCACGUGUAGCAGUGAAAUGCGUAGAUAUCUGGAGGAACACCGGUGGCGAAGGCGGCAUUCUGGACCAUUACUGACGCUGAGGAGCGAAAGCCAGGGGAGCAAACGGG